UCGGGGCUGCCCGGUUUGUCCGGUAUCCACAUUAAUGCUCUGGGCCUAAUUCGUUCCUAAGGGAGCUGUUCCUGCCCUGACCGUGGUCAGGGCAAACGGCGCCCACCUGCUGAGCAGGUCCCAGGGAUGAGCGGGAUGCAAACGGCCAUGGUGGCUCCACC
rnacentral:other from 1 species